AUGGCAUUUGCAAAUCUAUCACCCUGUUGAUCGCCAGCAUUGAUUUGGCUGAUCUGGCUGGCUAGGCGGGUGUCCCCUUCCUUCCUCACCGCUCCAUGUGCGUCCCUCCCAAAGCUGCACACUGGAUCAAAGAGGACAACCUUCUCCGAUAGAGGAGGACUGUUCUUUGGUCAAGGGUAUGUGAGUAGCUGUGUUCCCCUGCUAGAACCUCCAAACAAGGAAUUAGGGCUUUUUAAAGGUGAGUGGGUUUUGACUGCAGUCUGGAGGUGUGAGGGCCAGUCCAGGGCU
rnacentral:snRNA from 1 species